GACGAACGCUGGCGGCGUGCUUUAAACAUGCAAGUCAAGGAGAACAUAUUCUUCGGAAUACAAGUAAACUGGCGAACGGGUGAGUAACACGUAGGUAAUCUGCCCUAGAGAUUGGGAUAACCCCGGGAAACCGGAGCUAAUACCGAAUAAUGCAGCGGAUCUUUCGGGAUAUGUUGUUAAAGCGGGCACUUGUGCUCGCACUAUAGGAUGAGCCUGCGUCCGAUUAGCUUGUUGGUGGGGUAAUGGCCUACCAAGGCAACGAUCGGUAGCUGGUCUGAGAGGAUGAUCAGCCACACUGGGAUUGAGAUACGGCCCAGACUUCUACGGGAGGCAGCAGUUAGGAAUUUUGCGCAAUGGGCGAAAGCCUGACGCAGCAACGCCGCGUGAUCGAUGAAGCUUUUCGGAGUGUAAAGAUCUGUCGUGAGGGAAGAACAACUU
rnacentral:rRNA from 1 species